rnacentral:tRNA from 1 species
GGACAGGUGGGUGAGUGGCUUAAACCAGCGGUUUGCUAAACCGUCGUACGAGGAAACUCGUACCCCGGGUUCGAAUCCCGGCCUGUCCG